GGGGUUGUAGCUCAGUUGGUAGAGCAUUUGCCUUGCAUGUAUGAGGCACUGGGUUUGAUCCUCAGCACCACA
rnacentral:tRNA from 1 species